rnacentral:rRNA from 1 species
AGAGUUUGAUCAUGGCUCAGAGCGAACGCUGGCGGCAGGCCUAAUACAUGCAAGUCGAACGCACCUUCGGGUGAGUGGCGGACGGGUGAGUAACGCGUGGGAACGUGCCCUUUGGUACGGAACAACUGAGGGAAACUUCAGCUAAUACCGUAUGUGCCCUUCGGGGGAAAGAUUUAUCGCCAUUGGAGCGGCCCGCGUUGGAUUAGGUAGUUGGUGGGGUAAAAGCCUACCAAGCCUACGAUCCAUAGCUGGUCUGAGAGGAUGAUCAGCCACACUGGGACUGAGACACGGCCCAGACUCCUACGGGAGGCAGCAGUAGGGAAUCUUGCGCAAUGGGCGAAAGCCUGACGCAGCCAUGCCGCGUGAAUGAUGAAGGUCUUAGGAUUGUAAAAUUCUUUCACCGGGGAAGAUAAUGACGGUACCCGGAGAAGAAGCCCCGGCUAACUUCGUGCCAGCAGCCGCGGUAAUACGAAGGGGGCUAGCGUUGCUCGGAAUUACUGGGCGUAAAGGGCGCGUAGGCGGAUAUCUAAGUUGGGGGUGAAAGCCCGGGGCUCAACCUCGGAAUAGCCUUCAAUACUGGAUAUCUUGAGUUCGGGAGAGGUGAGUGGAAUGCCGAGUGUAGAGGUGAAAUUCGUAGAUAUUCGGCGGAACACCAGUGGCGAAGGCGACUCACUGGCCCGAUACUGACGCUGAGGCGCGAAAGCGUGGGGAGCAAACAGGAUUAGAUACCCCAGUAGUCC